CCAACCGGGCAAAGUGGCAAGGUGAAGACUGCAGAGAGCACGAGAAGAAAGAAAGACGGACGGCCGACCAAUUGAAUUGCAGAAUUGCCAGCGCUUUCUUGGCCAAAAGUUUUUGGGUAGAAGAGAGCAGCCCGAGUUUUUGAUUCAUUGGGUGUUAAGUGCGAUAAAAUGUGCGCUCUCUGAUAAAUUAUAGUUUCCAUAAAUAAAGUCGCAUUUAAUCGAAUUAAGUUAUUUCGCAGUUUAAAAAGGAAUUGUAAAAUAUAUGCGGAGCUUUAUAGUGGAAUAAUAAUUCAAAAAAAGGAAGACAGUUCCGUGGAGAACUGGAACCGCACCUUAAUCUUGCCCUCCUCCGAUUUCUCGCCCCUGCAGGAAGUCAUUAAGCUGCCUGAGGCUGGAAUAAAUAAAGUUUUCCUCCCACUUCGGCAGACGCUAAAGCUAUGAGGUGCCACCCCACGGCAGAUGCAACUUUAUUAAAGUCGACAAAAACAAAAUAAAUUUACGUGUAAAAACAGUCCAAAUGGCAGAACAACGAAAUUGUCGCCGCACCACCAAACAUCACCAAACGAUCCCAACAGAUGCACAAAGUUUCGGAUGCAACGAUCUGUAGAUGCAGCUACAGCUUCCCAAGAAGGGAGCGCAAGUUGGCGGCAUGCGGCAGCUAAUGUAUCUAAUAGAUACACGACAGCACGUCAAGCGCUUCCAUUGGAGCGAGAUUCCUCUGCUCUGCCUUCAAAUGGAGUCAUCCAAGUUGGGUACUCCAAUGCCUAAUAGGGGGAUAUAUCAGCCAUGGAAUGAAGACGCCGAUCUCUUGCACACGAGGCAAAUGACAUUUCAUUUAUCUUGCAGCUCGUGCAGCAAUUUCAAGCGGGUUUUCCUGGAGUUUCCCCAACGGAUGAGGGAGUGGGGGAGUGGGGGGUGGAGCAGUUGCGUUGGCGACCAGCAUUCGAUGUCAGCGAUGAGUUAUUGACACUCGAAGCUGCGUCCCAUAAAGCUCUCAGUUCCGGUGAUCUCUGGCUGAGUUAUCAAUGUGAAAAAUAGAAACAUGAUUAUGAAAUUAUCAAAAGAAAUGCGUGUACGUGAAAAAUGUAGGGGGAGGCAAGACAUCGAGCAGCAGAAGGUGUGAGUGAGACGGGGAUCGAGAGCCAUCUUCGGAUGGGUGGCGCUUUCGUUUUGCUUGAGUUUACCCCACAGCCUUAGAUUGGAUGGAAUUUGUAGAGCCAACGGCAGCAUAAUUAAAGUCAUCAACUUAAACUAGCACUGUAUUAUGGUUUCGGUUUGGUAAACACCCUGUAAAACAAACAUAUGCUAUAAGUAUUUGUAUUUAUUGAGCUAAAAGAACGCUUUUUGAAAGAAAACCUUCAAGAUACUGCCAUUUAAAUUCUUAAACCUAAAAAUUCAUAAGAUCCCAAGCAAUAUCCUUUUCCUUUCUUUUAAGUAUUCAUAAUUUAUAGAGCUAAACUAUCUAGUGGUUACCACCAUCUGUAAUUUAGUAGCAUUCCGUUCAUUUGAGCCCCAGCAAUCUUAGCCUGCCUACAUACACGCGACCUUCCGUCUCUUUUAUCCACAUUGUUGCCCUCCUUUUCUAUCGAACGUGUGUGGACAAUAGAAAUGAUCAAGGUAAAUAUGACUGUACAUAUGUACAUUCGUUUAUUUGUACCGCUCAACUCACCUUGCGGCGCACGAAUUAAGACCCGAAAGAGCGAGAGAAAGAUCGAGAGAGUGUUUCCAUCGGCUUGGUUUUUUUUGAAGAUGAUACACGAACCAUGAAUUUAAUUAUGAUAAAGAAAAAAAAAAACCAUUUUAUAGCCAACAAAAACACGCAAAUAAAGGCUUAUAAGAGUAUUAGUACUGGUCAGCGUGGUGUAUUGGUAUUCGUGUGGGUACAACCUAGGUUAUUAUGUAAAAUAAGUUGGAAAGCGUCUGGAUAAAUGGGUACUUUGCUGUGUAUGAGUGAGUAGUAUUCGAUGGUGUGUGCUUUAUAUGCAUGGAAUAUAAGUUGGUCGGCCAUCGCAGUCUACGGAUUAAGUGUCGUUGGCUCUAUUACCCGACUCUCCAAAUCGAAAAUCCAAAAUGGCGGCGAUCGCAUUGCACAAGGUACAGUUGCCUCCGAGCUUAGAGGGCAUAACUCAUAAAACCGACUUGAAUACGUAUUACGCAGUCUCUGAAGACGUGGUUUUCGAAAUUUCACAUUACUGCUGCCGGUUUUAUCCAUCCGAAACGAGAUGUAAAUUAGGAUGCUAUGUAAAUUUCGGUUUAAUAUAUUAUGGGUAUGUAUUUGUUAGUUUUACGUAGGCUAGGUAUCGAACAUUAGUACUUAGGUUAUAUUUAAAAUGAUUCCUUCAAAAUAAUUAUGGCCAAAUAUUAAAUUCACAAACUGUCAUAGGAAUUAGAAAUUCACAAGCAUGUUUCCAAACUUCAUCUCUGUGAAAUGCGUACGUUGCAUAUUUGCCUAAGAGCAUCAUUUUAGAUUUAUUUCAAACGAUUAACUAGGACUUAAACAUUGAUUUAACGGGGUUUGCUUUAACUGCAAAGAAAUCAUUAAAAACGUAAGCUCAAUAACCUGUCGAAAAUUUCUUUGAAGCCAAGACACAAGAUGCGAAGUGAAAAUUGAGUUGGACCAAGCUGCUGCUAAUGCUGAGCUACCGUAACACAUUAAAAUUAUCUAGUAAUUCCUCCUCAGCUUCAAUUAGUGACCUGGCCCAUCAGUGCCAGAGUUGAAUGAACCAGGCCAACAGCAAAACCAAAACCAAAUCGAAGUUGGUCAGGUCUGUUAAUUAGCCAGAAGCGCAGGCAAAACAGAGACCCGAACCCAAAAAUGCUAAUAAUACUGAUGCUAAGAGUCAAUCAAUCAUUUUGCAGUUUCACAGUGCAAAAAACACUUACACACAGCUAACCAUCCAGCCAUCCACAUCCACCCAAUGAGGCAUCUUGUGCUGGUUGAACCAAUUCCACGGAUAUUUUGUACAUUGCGAUUCGACCACCCAUUGCUGACGCUGCAGUUACCAGAUUCAGAUACCAAUACAUUUGAAAUACUUUAGAAACAGUAAGAAAAUGAUUGCAAUCUGUACAAGUUUUUGUUGUUUAGUAUGAGAAUAUAA